UAGGUGAACCUGCGGAAGGAUCAUUACCACACCCU
rnacentral:rRNA from 1 species